GGGAAGUCAUCUGAAAGAAGACAUGUCAUUGGUUGUCACCUUCAAACUAAACUAGGACCACACAUGUCUGUUACAGGGGAGAUGUAGGUGUGUGGAGUGGGGUUGUAUAUAUGAUGGGGUUGGUGUGGAUGGGAAGAUGCGGAUAGGAAGGUGCAUGUCUGGGGUUUUGUUGUUUUUUCUAUAGCUCUGAAACAAACAAUAG